UACAGAGGUCUCAAGCGUUGUUCGGAUUCAUUGGGCGUAAAGGGCUCGUAGGCGGCCAACUAAGUCAGACGUGAAAUCCCUCGGCUUAACCGGGGAACUGCAUCUGAUACUGGAUGGCUUGAGAUUGGGAGAGGGAUGCGGAAUUCCAGGUGUAGCGGUGAAAUGCGUAGAUAUCGAGAGGAACACCUGCGGCGAAGGCGGGUAGCUGGGCCGACACUGACGCUGAUGCGCGAAAGCCAGGGAGCGAACGGG
rnacentral:rRNA from 1 species